UACGUAGGCAGCGAGCGUUGUUCGGAAUUACUGGGCGUAAAGCGUGCGCAGGCGGCUUCUCAAGUCAGGGGUGAAAGCCCAGAGCUCAACUCUGGAAUUGCCUUUGAGACUGAGAGGCUUGAGUACGGGAGAGGUGAGUGGAAUUCCCAGUGUAGAGGUGAAAUUCGUAGAUAUUGGGAAGAACACCAGUGGCGAAGGCGGCUCACUGGACCGUAACUGACGCUCAUGCACGACAGCGUGGGGAUCAAACAGG
rnacentral:rRNA from 1 species